AUUGAACGCUGGCGGCGUGCCUAACACAUGCAAGUCGAGCGGCAGCGGGCCCGCAAGGGUGCCGGCGAGCGGCGGACGGGUGAGCAAUACAUAGGAAUCUACCUUAGAGCGGGGGAUAGCCCGGGGAAACCCGGAUUAAUACCGCAUGAUGUCGAAAGACCAAAGUGGGGGACCGUAAGGCCUCACACUCUGAGAUGAGCCUAUGUCGGAUUAGCUAGUUGGCGGGGAACGCCCACCAAGGCAACGACGGGUAGCUGGUCUGAGAGGAUGGCCAGCCACAUUGGGACUGAGACACGGCCCAGACUCCUACGGGAGGCAGCAGUGGGGAAUAUUGCGCAAUGGACGAAAGUCUGACGCAGCGACGCCGCGUGUGGGAUGACGGUCUUCGGAUUGUAAACCACUGUCGGGAGGGACGAAUACGCCGCAAGGCGGGUGACGGUACCUCCAAAGGAAGCACCGGCUAACUCCGUGCCAGCAGCCGCGGUAAC
rnacentral:rRNA from 1 species